AACGAACGCUGGCGGCAUGCCUAACACAUGCAAGUCGAACGAGACCUUCGGGUCUAGUGGCGCACGGGUGCGUAACGCGUGGGAACCUGCCCUUAGGUUCGGAAUAACUCCCCGAAAGGGGUGCUAAUACCGGAUAAUGUCUUCGGACCAAAGAUUUAUCGCCUUUGGAUGGGCCCGCGUUGGAUUAGCUAGUUGGUAGGGUAAAUGCCUACCAAGGCGACGAUCCAUAGCUGGUCUGAGAGGAUGAUCAGCCACACUGGGACUGAGACACGGCCCAGACUCCUACGGGAGGCAGCAGUGGGGAAUAUUGGACAAUGGGCGAAAGCCUGAUCCAGCAAUGCCGCGUGAGUGAUGAAGGCCUUAGGGUUGUAAAGCUCUUUUACCCGGGAUGAUAAUGACAGUACCGGGAGAAUAAGCUCCGGCUAACUCCGUG
rnacentral:rRNA from 1 species